rnacentral:lncRNA from 1 species
GGCACUCUAAAAGCUUGGGUUGAGCUUGCUGCCCUUUAUUUCCAAGUAAGGGGAGCUAACUAUAUAAGUAUUUUGUUGUUCUGAUUAAUUCCUGAAUUUAUGAGAAAAUAUGUUGAAUUGCGUUUGUACACUGGUUAACUCUGUUUUAAUGUUCUAUGCAUGUUAAAUUUAACUGUGAUAUAUUNUUUGAUAUUUAAUUGUCUCUGUUUUAAGUAUUUGGUCUUGAAAUGUUCUGAACCUUUGGUUCAUUCUCUAUGUUUGAUUGUGAUUGUUAUAAUCUGUCUGGAAUUGUGUUGCUGAACUGAAUUUCAUUGAAUUGAUGAUCCUGGAAAUGAUUCUUGUUUGUAUAUUGGUUAUGAUGUGCUCUGAAGGAAAUUGAUGAAUCUGGUUGCUGGAAUAAGUUGGGGGUGAUACUGAUUUGAUGGGAAAUUAUGGAUUGAGUGUAGUCUCAGGUUUUGUGAGAGGGAUGUAUAACUUUGGGAAUUAGGAAAAAAAAAAAGGAUAGUUGAUUAAAUCAAAUAAAAAUACUUGGGACUUGUUGGGAACCUUCUCUGUUGGUAGGAUAGAGAGAACCUAAAAACCAGAUCCGCACAUCCCUGAUCAUAAAGCAGCCCUAGCCUGGUCCAGUCAGUUGUGACUAGUCAUAUGUGUUGGUG